GAUGAUUUCUUCCAAAGUGUGCUUAGCUCAAAUCAGGUAGUGCCUCCAGCAGUAAAAUAUUUAUUUGAUUUCCUUGAUGAGCAAGCAGAAAAGCAUGGCAUUGUAGAUGAAGACACAAUACACAUAUAGAAAACAAACAGCUUACCACUGAGGUUCUGGGUUAACAUCUUGAA